rnacentral:rRNA from 1 species
GGAGUCUGGGCCGUGUCUCAGUCCCAAUGUGGCUGAUCGUCCUCUCAGACCAGCUAUAGAUCGUCGGCUAGGUAGGCCUUUACCCCACCUACUACCUAAUCUGCCGCGGGCCAAUCCUAAAGCGAUAAAUCUUUCCCCUCAGGGCGUAUACCGUAUUAUCGUCCGUUUCCAGACGCUAUCCCGUACUUUAGGGCAUGUUCCCACGUGUUACUCACCAGUGCGCUACUCUCUUGCUCAGUGCAAGCACCUCACAAUACCGUUCAACUUGCAUGUGUUAAGCCUGCCGCCAGCGUUCGUUCUGAGCCAGGAUCAAACUACU